ensembl:lncRNA JARID2-DT JARID2 divergent transcript
GGCGGCGCCUGCUGCUUGUGCCGUGCAGCCGGUGUCACCUCAGGACAGCGCCUCGCGUCUGUGUACAGAGCGUGCUGCGGGCGCCUAGGGUAGUCCGAGGUCACCCCUCUCCGCGCCCCGCAGUCGCGCACGCCCCCACGCGCGGGGUGGGCGGUGGCCGGGGGUCGCCGAGUGGAAAGGCCACGCCCCCCCACGCCCGGGCUCGGCACGCUGCCCCUGGGUCGCGAACGCGCCUCCGCUCGACCCGCUUGGAGGACGUCGCUGGUGGCCCAGGAGUGAAGCCCCGGCGGCUGCCUCCUGAGAAAAGAUAGCCGUGUUUAAAGAGACUGAACGGGAUCUUUGCUUUGCCGGGCGUAUUUUGUGAUAAAAUACCACAAAAUGUUGAGACAAAAAUGAGUGGAAUAUGGAGACCGAGCCGCACAGACACGCAAUUGUAAGGAAACAUCUCGAACACCGAGUGCCAGGAAUAUCAACUGUCCGGGCCACGCAAGAGCCUGCUUUUUACCUGCCUCCAGCCCCCUGUCGUGCUGGUUUAAUCGCUGAAACAAAUGAAGUAGCAGGCCCUGGCAUAGCGCUUUGGGCCUUCGCCUUAUUAACAACUUUGUCAAGUCUCGCAUCGCGAUUCUGCCUUGUUAAUUUCCUUGUUUUUCGCUGUGGUUUUGGAGAAGCAAUGUUUUCCAUGAUCUCUCAGGCUAGCCUCGGAAUAAAACGUGGCAGAAGCGCUCCCGCGAACACAUACCCAUAUAUUUUAUUCUACCUAUUCCCUAGAGUCUGCUAACUUCAAAAGUCUAGAUACUCACACAGCUGUUUACUUGCAGCAGUAUUUGAAGAGAUAACCUUGGUGUCUAGAAAGGUCUCAGAAACUGGAGGUAAGAGACCUGGAUUCAAAUCGCGCCUUGGCCACUUCCCAAAAGGCAACCGAGAGCCUCUCUGAGCUUGUCAGUUUCCGCAUCUGCAAAUUAGUGGUGAUCAAACCUGUGGGGAUGAUUAUGUGAUAAAUAACAGUAACCUAGUUUAAAACUAGGCACGUUAUUGGAAGCUUUCAGUAAACGAAAUAAAAAGCCUUUUCGAGAGGGUA